UACGUAGGCAGCGAGCGUUGUUCGGAAUUACUGGGCGUAAAGAGUGUGUAGGCGGCGCUCUAAGUUCGGUGUGAAAUCUCUCGGCUUAACUGGGAGGGUGCGCCGGAAACUGGAGUGCUCGAACGUGGGAGAGGUAAGCGGAAUUCCUGGUGUAGCGGUGAAAUGCGUAGAUAUCAGGAGGAACACCUGCGGUGUAGACGGCUUUCUGGACCAUUGUUGACGCUGAGACACGAAAGCGUGGGUAGCAAACAGG
rnacentral:rRNA from 1 species